rnacentral:rRNA from 1 species
UACGUAGGGUGCAAGCGUUCAUCGGAAUUACUGGGCGUAAAGCGUGCGUAGGCGGUUUGUUAAGUCCGUUGUGAAAGCCCUGGGCUCAACCUGGGAAUUGCAGUGGAUACUGGCGAGCUAGAGUGCGGUAGAGGAUGGUGGAAUUCCCGGUGUAGCGGUGAAAUGCGUAGAGAUCGGGAGGAACACCCGUGGCGAAGGCGGCCAUCUGGACCAGCACUGACGCUGAGGCACGAAAGCGUGGGGAGCAAACAGG